rnacentral:sRNA from 1 species
UCCGUGACUAUCACUUACAUAAUUUCAC